rnacentral:snoRNA from 1 species
CGCCUUUGUGUUGCCCGUUCACUUUUGGAAACUAGUGAAUGUGGUGUCAAAAAAGGCGUACACAAAACACUUUCGCGGCUUUUUUCCUACCCUUGUAUUUGAUGUCUGUGGUGUAGGAGCUGCGUAAGUAACAUAU